AUCCCUGUAGCACAAUGGAUAGCGCGUUGGACUUCUAAUCCAAAGGACGUAGGUUCAAUUACCACCUGGGAUG